rnacentral:rRNA from 1 species
CGGGUGAGUACACGUAAGUAACCUGCCCUUAAGUGGGGGACAACUCUGAGAAAUCGGAGCUAAUACCGCAUGUGAUGGUGUAAGGUAAAGCCUUGCUUGAGGAGGGGCUUGCGUCUGAUUAGCUAGUUGGUAAGGUAACGGCCUACCAAGGCGACGAUCGGUAGCUGGUUUGAGAGGACGACCAGCCACACUGGGACUGAGACACGGUCCAGACUCCUACGGGAGGCAGCAGCAAGGAAUAUUGCGCAAUGGGCGAAAGCCUGACGCAGCGACGCCGCGUGGGGGAAGAAGGCCUUCGGGUUGUAAACCCCUUUUACCGGGGACGAAUGACGGUACCCGGGGAAUAAGUCUCGGCCAACUACGUGCCAGCAGCCGCGGUAAUACGUAGGAGGCAAGCGUUAUCCGGAUUCACUGGGCGUAAAGCGGGUGCAGGCGGCUUGGUAAGUCGGAUGUAAAAUCUCCUGGCUUAACUAGGAGGGCGCAUUCGAAAC